GCCGGGGUGGGGUAGUGGUAAUCCUUGGGGACUGUGGAUCCCUAGACCCGGGUUCGACUCCCGGUCCCGGCC
rnacentral:tRNA from 1 species